rnacentral:rRNA from 1 species
UGGGGGAAUAUUGGGCAAUGGGCGAAAGCCUGACCCAGCGACGCCGCGUGAGGGAAGAAGGUCUUCGGAUUGUAAACCUCUGUUGACAGGGAAGAAGAAAGUGACGGUACCUGUCGAGGAAGUCACGGCUAACUACGUGCCAGCAGCCGCGGUAAUACGUAGGUGGCAAGCGUUAUCCGGAUUUACUGGGUGUAAAGGGUGUGUAGGCGGGACGGCAAGUCAGAUGUGAAAAUUAUGGGCUUAACCCAUAACCUGCAUUUGAAACUGUAUCUCUUGAGUGUCGGAGAGGUAGACGGAAUUCCUAGUGUAGCGGUGAAAUGCGUAGAUAUUAGGAGGAACACCAGUGGCGAAGGCGGUCUACUGGACGAUAACUGACGCUGAGGCGCGAAAGCGUGGGGAGCAAACAGGAUUAGAUACCCUGGUAGU